rnacentral:rRNA from 1 species
UACGUAGGGUGCGAGCGUUAUUCGGAAUUACUGGGCGUAAAGCGUGCGCAGGCGGUUUUGUAAGUCAGAUGUGAAAGCCCCGGGCUUAACCUGGGAAUGGCAUUUGGGACUGCAAGGCUGGAGUGUGGCAGAGGAGACUGGAAUUCCUGGUGUAGCAGUGAAAUGCGUAGAUAUCAGGAGGAAUACCGAUGGCGAAGGCAGGUCUCUGGGCUGACACUGACGCUCAUGCACGAAAGCGUGGGGAGCAAACAGG